rnacentral:rRNA from 1 species
AGCAGUGCCGCGGUAAUACGUAGGGUGCGAGCGUUAAUCGGAAUUACUGGGCGUAAAGCGUGCGCAGGCGGUUUUGUAAGACAGGCGUGAAAUCCCCGGGCUCAACCUGGGAAUGGCGCUUGUGACUGCAAAGCUAGAGUGCGGCAGAGGGGGAUGGAAUUCCGCGUGUAGCAGUGAAAUGCGUAGAUAUGCGGAGGAACACCGAUGGCGAAGGCAAUCCCCUGGGCCUGCACUGACGCUCAUGCACGAAAGCGUGGGGAGCAAACAGGAUUAGAUACCCCCGUAGUCCCUGUCUCUUAUACA